GAGAGAGAGAGAGAAGAUAGAGAGGAUUCAAGGCGAAGAAGAUGGAGCUGGAGUCGGUGGGCGAUCUGGCGCUGAACCUCAUCCUGACAAAGCUGGGGCCCGAGAACGUCGGCCGGGUCGCCUGCGUGAACCGGAAGCUCCGCCUCUCCGCCGACGAGGAGGCCCUCUGGUCCCGGUUCUGCUCGGAGGAGCUCCACCUCUCCGCUCCUCUCGAUCCCCGCGGCGAUCCUCUCCCUUCUUUCAAGGUCUCUCUCUCUCUCUCUAAUCCAAUUUGUCGAGUUCGAAUCGUCCGCGCUCUCGUGUGUUUUUUUCGCGCCCUUGGCGUGUGCCGUGCGUGAUUCCGUGCCGCGUGAUGUUGCUGCGAUCGAGAAAUUCGUGAUUGCGCGAUCGCCAAAACCGCCUGGGAGCUUGAUCUUCGUGGUUACGAUGUGAUUCGAGUUCGAAGGUGGUGACACUGAAUGGGAGGGCAAAUGAAGGGCUUAGUGAUUCGAAUUCGAUAUUUCCGAUACCAGGUGUUAGUAUUUGUGUGCGGGGGUAGUUUCCAAUUCACUGAAAAAUUUGAAGGUGCGGAGGGGUAGGUUAGCAGUUUCUCUUUUGCAGGCUGCGCGUGCGAUCAGGAUGCGUUUAGUUAUUUUUGUGCUUGGGGCCGCCGAGGUUGUCUGAUUUGGGAUUUUUAAUGAUUGAGACUUGACUAUUCUCGUUUUUUGUAUGCAAUGCCCAUGCCUAGGC
rnacentral:lncRNA from 1 species